GAUUUAUUGAGUUAUCACUUAAUAAUAGAUUUAUUGAGUUAUCGUUUGCUUGCAAAUCUAAAAAAAUUGUUUUUAAUUUUUUAACGCGAGAUUAGAUUAGCAUUAGAUUCGCAAUAAAUUUUCUAUAGUUUGCAAUCAAGGCGAUGAUGGUAAGAUUUUAUCAAAAGAACGUAGAGAAAAACUAUCCUGAUGUCCUCCACACUCGAAUUUGGAGUGAUCAUUUUGUUACAGGAAAACCUGCUUCUCUUUUCUCACAGCAUGAUCCUGAUUGGGUUCCAUCCUUAAAUAUGGGGCGCAAAAAGUUUAAAUUUGAGUUUGAGAAACCUAGAGAAAGAUACUUACGACACAAAAAUUGUUCAUUGUUAACAAGUCGAGACGAUUCUAUGUCUUGUAGAACAUAAUAUUGCAAUUUCGAGAUCGUUAUAUGGAAGGUUAAGGAAAGAUUAUGAACUUCCAAGUAUUUCCCUAUUAACAAAGCUAACUUCUAAACUGGAUUCUGCAAUGAACGACACAGAGUUUUUUAAAUCAGUUUAUUCUAAGCUUGAAAAUGAAAUGCAAAAAAAUUGUAUGAUUUUAAUUGACGAAGUUUAUGUCAAAUCAUCUCUUACUUAUCAUGCUGGCUCAGUCUUUGGUAAAGCGGUAAAUAAACCAGAGUCUUUAGCAACUACUGUUUUAAGUUUUAUGUUAGUAUCACUUUACGGAGGACCACAAUAUCUUUGCAGAGUUUUACCAGUCUGUGAGCUUGAUUCUAAAUUUCUGUUUGAAUAAACUCAAUUUGUUUUAGAAGGAAUAAAGAGUGCAGGAGGAAUACCGGUAGCCUUAAUAUGCGACAAUAACCGUGUAAAUCAAGCACUAUUUAAAAUGUUUGAUUGUGUUGAGCCAUGGUUAACUAAAGACAAUAUGUUCUUGUUAUAUGACUUUGUCCAUCUUCUUAAAUCUGUCCGUAAUAACUGGGUUACAGAAAAAAGUCAAAAGUUAUGUUAUGAACAUGAAGGGAAAACUAAAUAUGCAUGCUGGUCUAAUAUCUUAAGUUUGUUCAGGCUUGAAGAAAAUAACAUCGUAAAAUUGUCUAAACUUACAAGUGUGUCUGUUGCACCAAAACCUAUUGAAAGACAAAAGGUGUCUACUUGCUUACAAGUAGCCCAAAUAACGAUAUCGCAAACCAACCUACUCUAAGCAGUUCAUUUGUUGAUAUUGAUCAAGGUUCUACUGAAAAUACUAUUUCUGAUAGUGAGUUAUCUUUUUCAGAUGAUAGUAAAAGUAAUGAGGAUGAACAGUUGAUAUAGUUAUUUCAGAAAAUCUAGCAAAUUGGGCUGUUAAACAUAAGUGUACCCAACAUGCAGUUAAUGACUUUUUAAAUCUACUUCGGGAUUGCAGUCAUAAUAAAAUAAAACUUAUUUUACUAGGUGUAACUAUAAAUCAUUAAUUUAAAUCAUAUUAUGUACUUCAAUUAUGUACUUAAAACCAUAUCAUUCCUCAAUCUUUGAUCCACCAGAACUUUGCUAAAUAAACUUACACUGAAAAUCAAACUACAAAUAAGUCAAAAAAAUUUAGACACUUAUUGAAAUCAGUUCUGACCAAUAGUUAAUAUUAGGUUAUUUCAAAAAUUUAAAAUUUUGGUUAUAAAAAAUAAGAAUAGAAUUAUGUAAAUCUAUAAUAAAUAAGCAAAAAAACGAAGAAAUGCAAUAUUUUUGAAAAAUAAUAAUGUAUUUUAAACAUGUACUAUAUAUUUACAAAAGCCAUUUCACAUCAUGAUGUAAUGGUAAUAAAACGCAUCCUUUUUCAGUUUUGAGAUACAUGGCUUUUCGUUUUAAUCUCGACUUCUCCACUAAUUGCCGUUUUACUCUAAGUCUUUCAAAGUGGAAAAAAUAAAUGUUUAACUAACUGGAUUCACAUGGUAUUGUAAAGAAAUUGUCUAAGCAAGCUUUUUCAACAUCACACACAUA
rnacentral:lncRNA from 1 species